rnacentral:rRNA from 1 species
CAGCCGCCGCGGUAAUACGUAGGGUGCAAGCGUUCAUCGGAAUUACUGGGCGUAAAGCGUGCGCAGGCGGUUCGGAAAGAAAGAUGUGAAAUCCCAGAGCUUAACUUUGGAACUGCAUUUUUAACUACCGGGCUAGAGUGUGUCAGAGGGAGGUGGAAUUCCGCGUGUAGCAGUGAAAUGCGUAGAUAUGCGGAGGAACACCGAUGGCGAAGGCAGCCUCCUGGGAUAACACUGACGCUCAUGCACGAAAGCGUGGGGAGCAAACAGGAUUAGAUGCCCUGGUAGUCCACGCCCUAAACGAUGUCAACUAGCUGUUGGGGCCUUCGGGCCUUGGUAGCGCAGCUAACGCGUGAAGUUGACCGCCUGGGGAGUACGGUCGCAAGAUUAAAACUUAAAGGAAUUGGCGGG